rnacentral:rRNA from 1 species
ACUUUCAACAACGGAUCUCUUGGUUCUGGCAUCGAUGAAGAACGCAGCGAAACGCGAUAAGUAAUGUGAAUUGCAGAAUUCAGUGAACCAUCGAAUCUUUGAACGCACAUUGCGCCCGCCAGCACUCUGGCGGGCAUGCCUGUCCGAGCGUCAUCUC